rnacentral:rRNA from 1 species
UACGGGGGGAGCAAGCGUUGUUCGGAUUUACUGGGCGUAAAGGGCGCGUAGGCGGCGUGACAAGUCACUUGUGAAAUCUCCGGGCUUAACCCGGAAAGGUCAGCCGAUACUGCGGGGCUAGAGUGCAGAAGGGGCAACUGGAAUUCCUGGUGUAGCGGUGGAAUGCGCAGAUAUCAGGAGGAACACCGGUGGCGAAGGCGGGUCUCUGGGCAGUAACUGACGCUGAGGAGCGAAAGCGUGGGGAGCGAACAGG